rnacentral:rRNA from 1 species
CUUUAGUUUGAAACCCCGAAACCAGGUGAGCUACCCCGAGACAGCCUAUACAAAUUAGGGCUAACCCGUCUCUGUGGCAAAAGAGUGGGAAGAGCUCCGGGUAGAAGUGACAGACCUACCGAACCUGGUGAUAGCUGGUUGCCUGAGAAAUGGAUAGAAGUUCAGCCCCGCACACCCCAGACCAAAAUCCUACACUUAAGGUAAUUUAAGGGUAAUAUGUGGGAGUUAGUUAAAGGGGGUACAGCCCCUCUAACAAAGGAUACAACCUUACCAGGAGGAUAAAGAUCAUAAUACUUAAAACAAACUGUUUUAGUGGGCCUAAAAGCAGCCAUCUAAAUAGAAAGCGUUAAAGCUCAAACAGAAUAAAGUUUAUUAUAACGAUAAAAAAUCUUAUUCCCCUAAAAAUAUCAGGCUAUCCCAUGCUUGCAUGGAAGAAAUUAUGCUAAAAUGAGUAACAAGAAGACCUGCUCUUCUCCAAGCACAAGUGUAACCCAGAUCGGACAAACCACUGGGAAAUAACGAACUCAACUCAAGAGAGUACUGUGAACAACAUAAAAACCAAGAAAAACUCACAACAAUAUAAUCGUUGACCCCACACUGGAGUGCUAUUUAUAAAGGAAAGACUAAAAGAAAGGGAAGGAACUCGGCAAACGCAAGCCUCGCCUGUUUACCAAAAACAUCGCCUCCUGCAACUGGAUUAAGUAUAGGAGGUCCAGCCUGCCCAGUGACUACGGGUUCAACGGCCGCGGUAUUUUGACCGUGCAAAGGUAGCGCAAUCACUUGUCUUUUAAAUAGAGACCUGUAUGAAUGGCUAAACGAGGGCUUAACUGUCUCCCCCUUCCAGUCAGUGAAAUUGAUCUAUCCGUGCAGAAGCGGGUAUAAUACUACAAGACGAGAAGACCCUUUGGAGCUUAAGGUACAAAAUUUAACCACGUUAAACAACUCAACAAAAAGCAAGAACUUAGUGGGCUAUAAAAUUUUACCUUCGGUUGGGGCGACCGCGGAGGAAAAAUUAGCCUCCGAGUGGACUGGGCUUUACCCCUAAAACCAAGAGAGACAUCUCUAAGCCACAGAACAUCUGACCAAUAAUGAUCCGGCCUUGUGGCCGACCAACGGACCAAGUUACCCUAGGGAUAACAGCGCAAUCCUCUCCCAGAGUCCAUAUCGACGAGGGGGUUUACGACCUCGAUGUUGGAUCAGGACAUCCUAAUGGUGCAGCCG